rnacentral:tRNA from 1 species
GGGCGCAUAGCGCAGCUGGGAGAGCACUUGCCUUACAAGCAAGGGGUCACAGGUUCGAGCCCUGUUGCGCCCACCA